ACGUAGGGUGCGAGCGUUAAUCGGAAUUACUGGGCGUAAAGCGUGCGCAGGCGGAUUGUUAAGCAAGACGUGAAAUCCCCGGGCUUAACCUGGGAAUGGCGUUUUGAACUGGCAGUCUAGAGUGCGUCGGAGGGGGGUGGAAUUCCACGUGUAGCGGUGAAAUGCGUAGAGAUGUGGAGGAACACCGGUGGCGAAGGCAGCUCCCUGGGAUGUCACUGACGCUGAGGUGCGAAAGCGUGGGGAGCAAACAG
rnacentral:rRNA from 1 species